AAGUCUGACUCAGGAUAUUGAGAAUCUGAAGAGCUUCUAGAUUCCGAAGCCUCUGUGACUAAGUACUUUCUUACACAAUUCAAUCUUGUUUAAAAAUAUUCAUCAUAGCCUCAGAUUUCUAUUAGAUAAUUCCUCUAUGAAAAAGAAUAAAAUCCACACCUGUAUUAAAGAGUCUUUGAGGCUGAUUGACAGGUUGUUCAUACAGUUAUCCUCACUGAAGUGUCGUAGGAGUCAGAAGGGAAGGAGAGGCAAGAACCUAGAAAGAAAAGGUUGCUGUCGUCAUUGCUAACCCAGAAUGGAAGCCAUCUUUUCCCAGAGGCCUGGCCAGAGCUAGUAGUCACCACCCACGUUGCCAUUGCAUUCAGACCCUCAUGGCCAGAUCCCAAGGUGAUCCAAACUCUCUCCCUUCAAAUGCCUACACAUUACUGAUGGUUUACAUCUACAGUAUACCUUAAUAAAUGUCUUUUUAAAUGGUACUUGAGCGUAGGCAUAAUGUUUUUGUACACUGUGUAAAAGUUUAACCUUGUGUUACUCAAAUGCAGAUUUCUCUGCCCUCGUAUCUCGUUUCAGUCAGGAC
rnacentral:lncRNA from 1 species